UUAAGUAAGGAAGGGCGUACGGCGAAUGCCUGGCCACUCGAAACUGAAGAAGGACGCGCCAAACUGCGAAAAGCUCCGUGAAGCUGUAAGGAAGCGAAGAAGCGGAGGUGUCCGAAUGGGGGAACCCGGCAGCAGACAUGAGCUGUCAUCUGCAGGUGAAUACAUGGCCUGCAAGAGAGGUACCCGGCGAACUGAAACAUCUAAGUAGCCGGAGGAAAAGAAAACAACAGUGAUUCCCUGAGUAGCGGCGAGCGAAAGGGGAGAAGCCCAAACCGGUCCAAGGACCGGGGUUGAAGGACCAUGAUAUGGCAAGAGAGAGGAUAGAAGAACGGGAUCGAAAGCCCGGCCGAAGAAGGUGCAAGCCCUGUAUUUGAAAUCUGAUUGAAGCCUAAUGGGAUCCUGAGUACGGCGAGACACGAGGAAUCUUGUCGGAAGCAGGCGGGACCAUCCGCCAAGGCUAAAUAUAAACGAGUGAGCGAUAGUGAACCAGUACCGUGAGGGAAAGGUGAAAAGAACCGCGGGAGCGGAGUGAAAGAGAACCUGAAACCGUAUGCCUACAAGAAGUCAGAGCCCGUUAAGGGGUGAUGGCGUGCCUUUUGUAGAAUGAACCGGCGAGUUGCGACAGACUGCGAGGUUAAGGAGGAAAGACCGGAGCCGAAGCGAAAGCGAGUCUUAAGAGGGCGAAAGUAGGAUGUUGCAGACCCGAAACCGGGUGAUCUAGCCAUGAGCAGGUUGAAGUUGAGGUGAAACUCAAUGGAGGACCGAACCGACUACCGUUGAAAAGUUAGCGGAUGACUUGUGGCUAGGGGAGAAAUUCCAAUCGAACCCGGAGAUAGCUGGUUCUCCCCGAAAUAGCUUUAGGGCUAGCGUCGGAAAGAACCUUAGUGAAGGUAGAGCACUGAAUGUGUGAUGGCCCCAUCCCGGGGUACUGAAUACAAUCAAACUGCGAAUGUCAUUAAGGAUGUCCGGCAGUCAGACUGUGAGUGAUAAGGUCCAUGGUCAAGAGGGAAACAGCCCAGACCGCCAGUUAAGGUCCCAAAAUACAGGCUAAGUGGAAAAGGAUGUGGGGAUGCCCAGACAACUAGGAGGUUGGCUCAGAAGCAGCCAUCCUUUAAAGAGUGCGUAACAGCUCACUAGUCGAGUGACCCUGCGCCGAAAAUGUACCGGGGCUAAGCCUGAUACCGAAACUGCGGAUUGUAGGAAACUAUAGUGGUAGGGGAGCGUUGUAUACGAGUAGAAGCCGUACCGUGAGGAGCGGUGGAUUGUAUAGAAGUGAGAAUGCCGGUGUGAGUAGCGAGAUGUAGGUGAGAAUCCUACACACCGAAAGCCCAAGGAUUCCAGGGGAAGGUUCGUCCGCCCUGGGUAAGUCGGGACCUAACGCGAGGCCGAAAGGCGUAGUGGAUGGAAAGCAGGCGAAAGAUUCCUGCACCCGUAUAUGGAGCGAAGGAGUGACGGAGACGGAUAGUGUGACCCUCUUAAUGGAUUGAGGGCGAAGCGAAGCGGCUGGUUACCAGGCAAAUCCGGUAACCUUAAGGCUAGAGCGUGACAGGUAAGCGAAAUCUAAGGAAAGUAGCGAAGCACAUGAUGACGGCUUCCAGGAAAAGCUUCUGGCAAUGCAUAUGCGGCCCGUACCAAAACCGACACAGGUGGGCAGGGAGAGAAUCCCGAGGUGAGCGAGAGAACUGUUGCCAAGGAACUCGGCAAAAUGACUCCGUAAGUUAGCGAGAAGGAGUGCUUAAGCAAUUAAGCCGCAGUGAAGAGGCCCAAGCGACUGUUUAACUAAAACACAGCUCUCUGCGAAGUCGCAAGACGAAGUAUAGGGGGUGACACCUGCCCGGUGCUGGAAGGUUAAGAGGAUCUGUUAAGAGCGAUCUGAAGCAGUGAUCCGAAGCNNNNNNNNNNAUAGGGGGUGACACCUGCCCGGUGCUGGAAGGUUAAGAGGAUCUGUUAAGAGCGAUCUGUUAAGAGCGAUCUGAAGCAGUGAUCCGAAGCCCCAGUGAACGGCGGCCGUAACUAUAACGGUCCUAAGGUAGCGAAAUUCCUUGUCAGGUAAGUUCUGACCCGCACGAAAGGUGUAACGAUUUGGGCGCUGUCUCGGCAGCAGACUCGGUGAAAUCUUAGUACCUGUGAAAAUGCAGGUUACCCGCAACUAGACGGAAAGACCCCAUGGAGCUUUACUGCAGCCUGAUAUUGAAUUCUGGUCAUACAUGUACAGGAUAGGUGGGAGACAAAGAGACGUGCACGCCAGUGUACGAGGAGUCGUCGUUGGGAUACCACUCUUGUGUGACCGGGGUUCUAACCUGGUAUCGAGAACAGGUACGGGGAGAGUGUCAGGUGGGCAGUUUGACUGGGGCGGUCGCCUCCCAAAGAGUAACGGAGGCGCCCAAAGGUACGCUCAGAUUGGAUGGAAACCAAUCGACGAGUGCAAUUGCAGAAGCGUGCUUGACUGUGAGACUUACAAGUCGAACAGGGACGAAAGUCGGGAAUAGUGAUCCGGCGGUGCCGAAUGGAAGGGCCGUCGCUCAACGGAUAAAAGCUACCCUGGGGAUAACAGGCUGAUCUCGCCCAAGAGUUCACAUCGACGGCGAGGUUUGGCACCUCGAUGUCGGCUCAUCGCAUCCUGGAGCUGGAUUCGGUUCCAAGGGUUGGGCUGUCCGCCCAUUAAAGCGGUACGCGAGCUGGGUUCAGAACGUCGUGAGACAGUUCGGUCCCUAUCUGUUGUGGGCGAAGGAGAUCUGCGGAGAGCUGUCCUCAGUACGAGAGGACCGGGAUGGACCUACCGCUGGUGCACCGGUUGUUCCGCCAGGGGCAUAGCCGGGUAGCUAAGUAGGGAAAGGAUAAGCGCUGAAAGCAUCUAAGCACGAAGCCUACUCCAAGAUGAGAUCUCCCAUUCGCAAGAAGUAAGACCCCUUAAAGACGAUAAGGUAGAUAGGCCAGGGAUGGAAGUGCAGUGAUGUACGGAGUUGACUGGUACUAAUCGGUCGAGGACUUAAUCAG
rnacentral:rRNA from 1 species